UACGUAGGGGGCAAGCGUUGUCCGGAUUUAUUGGGCGUAAAGAGCGUGUAGGCGGCCUUACAGGUCAGCUGUGAAAACUCGAGGCUCAACCUCGAGACGUCGGUUGAAACCGUAUGGCUAGAGUCCGGAAGAGGAGAGUGGAAUUCCCGGGUGUAGCGGUGAAAUGCGCAGAUAUCGGGAAGAACACCCGUGGCGAAGGCGGCUACUC
rnacentral:rRNA from 1 species